GACGAACCGUGCGAACGUUGUUCGGAAUCACUGGGCUUAAAGGGCGCGUAGGCGGGCUGCCAAGUUUGGGGUGAAAUCCUCCGGCUCAACCGGAGCAGUGCCUCGAAUACUGGCGGUCUCGAGGGAGGUAGGGGCGUGCGGAACUGUGGGUGGAGCGGUGAAAUGCGUUGAUAUCCACAGGAACUCCGGUGGCGAAGGCGGCACGCUGGACCUUUUCUGACGCUGAGGCGCGAAAGCCAGGGGAGCGAACGGG
rnacentral:rRNA from 1 species